GGACUACCGGGGUAUCUAAUCCCGUUUGCUCCCCUGGCUUUCGUGCCUCAGCGUCAGGAAGUGUCCAGAGACUCGCCUUCGCCACUGGUGUUCCGCUCGAUAUCUACGCAUUUCACUGCUACACCGAGCAUUCCAGUCUCCCUUCCACUCCUCUAGCCGAAUAGUAUCCAACGCAGUUUCGAAGUUAGGCUUCGAGAUUUCACGUCAGACUUACCCGACCGCCUACGCACCCUUUACGCCCAGUGAAUCCGAACAACGCUUGGGACCUCUGUAUUACCGCGGCUGCUGGCAC
rnacentral:rRNA from 1 species